CUCCAUGUGUAGCGGUGGAAUGCGUAGAUAUAUGGAAGAACACCAGUGGCGAAGGCGGCUCUCUGGUCUGCAACUGACGCUGAGGCUCGAAAGCAUGGGUAGCGAACAGGAUUAGAUACCCUGGUAGUCCAUGCCGUAAACGAUGAGUGCUAAGUGUUGGGAGGUUUCCGCCUCUCAGUGCUGCAGCUAACGCAUUAAGCACUCCGCCUGGGGAGUACGACCGCAAGGUUGAAACUCAAAGGAAUUGACGGGGGCCCGCACAAGCGGUGGAGCAUGUGGUUUAAUUCGAAGCAACGCGAAGAACCUUACCAGGUCUUGACAUCUAGUGCAAUCUGUAGAGAUACGGAGUUCCCUUCGGGGACGCUAAGAC
rnacentral:rRNA from 1 species